GUACUUAGCCCGCGUGCCGCGUACGGGACGCGGGAGCAGUGACGGCAACCAUCCUUCCCUCCUCAGGUACCAAAAGACGGAAAUCCACCAACAGCUUCUCUGAAGACGAAGAAUACUACCGGAAAAAGCGGAAGGGCAGCGAUACUGCAGACGGCGUUAAAGCGAAGAGCUUGCUGACCGACCAGCAGCUGAUGGCRAUCGCUAAGAAGUUUGGCAGAGAGUGGAAAGAAAUCGCCAUCGAGUGUCUUCAGCUGGAAAUGAAAGACAUUCAUCAGAUUCAGGCAAAGGAGGAGGAAGUCAAUAUUCACAAAUUUCUGAUGCUGAGCAAGUGGAGAGACAGAGAACAGAGUAAUGGAACGGCGCAAAGCCUCUACGACAGUCUCAAGGAUAAGGUGUCCUAUGACAUAGUCGAAGUACUGGAAGGUUUUUUGGCUCAGUGACGAAUUUGUGGAGAAGCAGCUAAAAGGAGAAAACUCAGGAACGUUCCUCAGCCAAUGGUUCAACUUUUCAAGCUGUUUUCCUGGGAUUUCGGUGCGUUUCUGUUCCGAAGAUACAAGCCCUAAUCAGUCAGUGGAAAGUUUAGGCAAAAUCUUUGAAAGACGUGGGCGUGAAAUUUUACCCUGAUGUAAGUGGAUUGAAGGUUUUCAGGCGUGAUUACUCAUCUGUUCAGAUACCAGUCAUCGUAACCRUCUCGUCGAGAUGACAGAAGUGCCAGUCUUGGUGAAUGUGAAACUUAAAACUUCCACUGAAUUUUGUCUCAGUUGAGCCGAUCCUAAACGGCAUGAGCACUCAGCGAAAUCAGUUUACCUUAUUUACAUAUGGAAUUUUUUAUCUUGAAGCAGCUUUAUUUGAAUCAGGGAAAGACAAAGGGAGAAAAGUUUUACAGCAGCUUUCAUCACCUUAAAAAAAAAAAAAAGCUAAACUGCUAAAAUCAUGAGGUCUAUUCUAUUUCUCACAGAUGCCUAAGAUCAGUGAAGAAUAUUCUCAGACUCGYGGAUAAAUUCAUUUACAUAAUCACUGUAUAUAGUCCUGUACAUUCAAGCUGUGCUGGGCUGUGGGUCCGUUUUCUAACGAAUUGAAGACUAGUUUCAAAGUAGCACCAAUAUUCACUAUGGGCAGCUUUGAUUUUUUUUAUGUGGGAAGUUCUUAUUGACUCUUUUCUGUAUAGUCUGUCUCAGUUUUUGUGAGAUAAAUUUGUAUGUUUUAUAAUUUUUUUUUAUUACAACCUUUUUAUACUUUUUUACUUGAUUAAUUUUAACUUGAAUAGAAUUAGAAGUCUAAAGCGGGGAAAGUCAAAAUUYGUAGAAAGGUGGUUACUCUCUAUGCAAUACAUGUGCUACAGGAUUUUAAAAGAUUUUAAAGUAAUGUUAUUUGCAGAAGAGAGCAGCUACCUUAGAAGGGAAAUUGUCUUGUUUUAAAGACUCCUGUGAUUCCCUUGAU
rnacentral:lncRNA from 1 species